UGGGGAAUUUUGGACAAUGGGCGAAAGCCUGAUCCAGCAAUGCCGCGUGCAGGAUGAAGGCCUUCGGGUUGUAAACUGCUUUUGUACGGAACGAAAAAGCUUCUCCUAAUACGAGAGGCCCAUGACGGUACCGUAAGAAUAAGCACCGGCUAACUACGUGCCAGCAGCCGCGGUAAUACGUAGGGUGCGAGCGUUAAUCGGAAUUACUGGGCGUAAAGCGUGCGCAGGCGGUUCUGCAAGUCUGAUGUGAAAGCCCCGGGCUUAACCUGGGAACGGCAUUGGAGACUGCAUAGCUAGAGUACGGCAGAGGGGGAUGGAAUUCCGCGUGUAGCAGUGAAAUGCGUAGAUAUGCGGAGGAACACCGAUGGCGAAGGCAAUCCCCUGGGCCUGUACUGACGCUCAUGCACGAAAGCGUGGGGAGCAAACA
rnacentral:rRNA from 1 species